UACAGAGGUCUCAAGCGUUGUUCGGAUUCAUUGGGCGUAAAGGGUGUGUAGGUGGCGCGCUAAGUCGGGUGUGAAAUUUCGGAGCUUAACCCCGAAACUGCAUUCGAUACUGGCGUGCUUGAGGACUGGAGAGGAGACUGGAAUUCAUGGUGUAGCAGUGAAAUGCGUAGAGAUCAUGAGGAAGACCAGUGGCGAAGGCGGGUCUCUGGACAGUUCCUGACACUGAGACACGAAGGCCAGGGGAGCAAACGGG
rnacentral:rRNA from 1 species